rnacentral:lncRNA from 1 species
GAAAAUAUUAACAGAUCUGGCUAUCAUUAACAAAUAUCAUAGAGUAAGUGACAAACCUAGAUGGUGUAGCCUACUACACACCUAGGCUAUAUGGCAUAGCUAAUAAGAUCCUAGGGUACAAACCUGUUCAGCACGUGACUGUGUUGAAUACUGUAGGCAACUGUAACAAGGUGGUAUUUGUGUAUCUAAGCAUCUCAAAACAUAGGUAAGGUACAGUAAAAAUAGGGUAUUAUAAUCUUAUUGGACCAUUAUCACAUAUGCAGUCUUCUGUUGACCAAAAUGUCAUUACAUGGUACAUGACUGUAAUUUAAAAAUUCAAUGGCCAGGCUCAGCGGCUCAUGCAUGUAAUCCCUGCAUGGAGGCCAAGAUGGGAGGAUCACGUGAGCCUAGCAGUUUGAGACCAGCUUGGGCAACAUGGUAAGACCCUGUCUCUUAAAAAAAAUUAGCUAGGUGUGAUGGCGCACACCCAUAGUCCCAGCUACUGGAUAAGCUGAGGCAGGAGGAUGGCUUGAGCCUAGGAGAUGGAGGCUGCAGUGUGCACUACGAUCAGGCCACUGCACUCCAGCCUGGGCAAAAGAGCAAGACCCUGUCUCAGAAACUAAAACAAAAAUUGGCUGGGCAUGGUGGCUCACAUCUGUA